GGAUAGGGUCAAAGGUGCCUUUGGGCAAUUAUAAUUACAGCAAGAAGACAUGUAUUAACAAGGAAACAAGGACGAAGAAAGGCGAAAGGAAAGUAAAAAACAAAAGUACGUAAUAAAAAUUCAAAGUACGGAAACAAAAGGUAUGUUUUAAUUAUUUAAAAAAAAAAAAUUAUAAAACUACUGGUUUUCUUCACCCGACAACUCGGAGAGAGUCUUGGGCCAGGCAGGAUGUUCCGUAGGGAUUCCAGUCGCUUUCCACUGCUCCCACAUCGGUGGGUUAAUAGGAACAACGGUGGACUCGUAUUCAGGGCUCCGAAGAUUCACCAUGUCCCGCCCAUGAAUCAUGCCUUCAACAAAAUUCUUGAAGCAGGCACGCUUGUUCCGUUCGGUCAUAUUCUUGGCGCAUUCAGUUAAUUUCACCGGCACGCGAGAUGUCCUCUUCCAUGGACGCAACCCGGACGGCCUUUUCGUCCCUCUCUGCCCUAAGGGACUCGAUCUCCACCCUAAGGGACUCGAUCUCAGCAUCCUUCAAAGUAAAUACGUUGGUCAAGAGAGUAACC
rnacentral:lncRNA from 1 species